GACGAACGCUGGCGGCGUGCUUAACACAUGCAAGUCGAGCGGGGAUAAUAGUAAUAUUAUCUUAGCGGCGGACGGGUGAGUAACGCGUGGGCAACCUACCUUUCACUGGGGGAUAACACAGGGAAACUUGUGCUAAUACCGCAUAACAUCACGAGAUGACAUCUUCUUGUGAUCAAAGGAGUAAUCCGGUGAUUGAUGGGCCCGCGUCCGAUUAGCUAGUUGGUGAUGUAAUGGACCACCAAGGCGACGAUCGGUAGCCGAACUGAGAGGUUGAUCGGCCACAUUGGGACUGAGACACGGCCCAGACUCCUACGGGUGGCUG
rnacentral:rRNA from 1 species